CUUCAUUAUUACCGUAGUAAAUUUGACAAUACUAAUUUCAUUGAAGAACUCUGGUAAAAUAUCAAGAGAGUGUUUAUGUUAUAAUUUUUUUUACUUCUUGUAUGUAUUUUUUGAAAAUGAAAUAUACACUCAGUAUAUCUCUAUGUCAGCAAAAGUUAUCAAAUUAAGCAUACAACUGAAUAUAUAUAUUUCUAUGGGCUGCUUAUUUUGUAGGUUACCGUUACAAAAAAAUCCCAUAAAAAUAUGUUUGAUAUUCUUAUGGUCAUCAUUUCAGAUAUUGCAAAAUAUUAAACAUGUUAAAUGUACACUCUGUAAUGGUUCAUUUGAGUGAGAUCAUAUUAAAUCAUAAAUAAGAUUAUAUAGUUUUUAUGAUGUACCAGGUAGUUUAAUUCUUAAUGGAGAUUUUUAAGACAAGUAUGAAAAAGAUGCCAAUGAUGGAGUAAAUGAUGAUUAUUUGGUUUAAUUGACUUGCGUAUUGGAGGAAUUCAUGCAUGCACCAGUCUGGUCUCAUAGACAGUUCAUGGUUACUGCGAGGCUAUUCUAACCAUACAAAGUACAUAUUAGAUUCCAUUCAAUCUGAAAGGUAAUUAUCAACAAUCAGAUUUGUUACAUUGAUUUCCCAUUAAUUACAAAAAGAGGAAAUUAACUUAGAAGUUAGUAGCCGAUUAUGUCAUCAAUGAUAAGCCAGUCUCCGUUGGACAGAAAGACCAUCCCAUGUAGUCAGCGUAGUCCAAAUAAAUCACCCAGGCUAAACCACGGUAAUGACAUAUUCAUAGAAGGAUGCUCCUUCGUAUUUAAGAUGCAGACCCCAGCCUCUAAUUGCUGGGCUUCAGUGGGUCAAUAUUUCGUCCAAAGACAUGAUCGCAGCGCAGGGCAUUAUGACAUAAAUAUUUUUGGUGGCGACAUGGACCCUGACUGAAAUGAUGUUACGUGGGUGACAGGAGCCGUUUUCCUAUAGUUUAGUCCUAUCGUUUCUCUGAAGGCUGAGACUGUUACAUGGUGUAAAUGGGGAAAAACCAACAUGGUACAUGUUAGAUGCGGGUCUAUGAUCAAGGCAAAGUUAUCCUUGAUGUAGGAAAUGUUAGUUUUUAUAGCAGUGUUCUAGCCUUGCGGUGUAAUCGCUGUUCAUUUUUCAUCAUUAUUCAAUAUUUGAACAUGUUCAGGUAGUAGUUUGUCUUGGGACGCAAGCUUUGUUGUUGACGCUUUGGCUGGAAGUGAUCUAUAGUUUGUGUGUCGGUUACAUUUUGCG
rnacentral:sRNA from 1 species